rnacentral:rRNA from 1 species
CCCUUAGAUGUUCUGGGCUGCACGCGCGCUACACUGUUGCGUUCAACGAGUGUAUAACCUUACCCGAUAGGGUUGGGAAAUCUUCUGAACACGCAACGUGAUGGGGAUAGAUUAUUGCAAUUAUUAAUCUUCAACGAGGAAUUCCUAGUAAUGGUGAAUCAUCAGUUCAUCGUGAUUACGUCCCUGCCCUUUGUACACACCGCCCGUCGCUCCUACCGAUUGAGCAAUCCGGUGAAUAAUUCGGACCGGCUGGUUUCUUGGUUCGCCAGGUUACCAACUGGAAAGUCUAGUGAACCUUAUUGCUUAGAGGAAGGAGAAGUCGUAACA